CAAAGCCUCUUCAGCUGUUCUCCGUGAGGGGCCUGGCUCCUCCGAAGGGUUUGCUGGAGUCACGCAGCACCGGGGGAUCAGGAGGGUUCACACAGAAGUUCAAGUGGACAGCAAUUCUCUUUUAAAAAUACGGCCACCUAGGGAGUUUUCUCAAGUCCUCUGACCCUGCAGUCCCAAGCAGGGUUUGAAGCCUGAUAACCGUGACCGACUGGACCAGAGGGUUCCAAGAAGGCUGUUGCUGACAAAAGGGUAAUGAUGCCUAGAAGAGGAAUCAGGGCAUGUGACAGAAAUGGAGGCAGCUAUACUGGUUGACCAAAGAGGAAGAAGAUGAGUCACGGUAUACUUCAAAGUGUGGCUUCC